rnacentral:rRNA from 1 species
GAUGAACGCUGGCGGCGUGCCUAAUACAUGCAAGUCGAGCGAAUGGAUUAAGAGCUUGCUCUUAUGAAGUUAGCGGCGGACGGGUGAGUAACACGUGGGUAACCUGCCCAUAAGACUGGGAUAACUCCGGGAAACCGGGGCUAAUACCGGAUAACAUUUUGAACCGCAUGGUUCGACCUUGAAAGGCGGCUUCGGCUGUCACUUAUGGAUGGACCCGCGUCGCAUUAGCUAGUUGGUGAGGUAACGGCUCACCAAGGCAACGAUGCGUAGCCGACCUGAGAAGGUGAUCUGCCACACUGGGACUGAGGCACGGCCCAGACUCCUACAGGAGGCAGCAGUAGGGAAUCUUCCGCAAUGGACGAAAGUCUGACGGAGCAACGCCGCGUGAGUGAUGAAGGCUUUCGGGUCGUAAAACUCUGUUGUUAGGGAAGAACAAGUGCUAGUUGAAUAAGCUGGCACCUUGACGGUACCUAACCAGAAAGCCACGGCUAACUACGUGCCAGCCGCCGCAGUAA